AUUUUAGUAGCUUAUUGAGAGUGUAGUAUUGAAGAUACUAAGGAGACAGUUUUUGUUUUAAAAUA
rnacentral:tRNA from 1 species